rnacentral:tRNA from 1 species
UGCCCCAUGGCUGAGUUGGUUACAGCGUCCGACUGUUACGGCUUAGAGUCAGUACAUCGGAAGGUCGUGAGUUCGAGCCUCACUGGGGCAG